CCUACGGGAGGCUGCAGUGGGGAAUAUUGGGCAAUGGAGGAAACUCUGACCCAGCCAUGCCGCGUGAAUGAAGAAGGUCUUCGGAUGGUAAAGUUCUUUAGUCAGGGAACAAUAAAAUGACGGUACCUGCAGACUAAGCUCCGGCUCACUACGUGCCAGCAGCCGCGGUAAUACGGAGCGGGCAAGCGUUGUUCGGAAUGACUGGGCGUAAAGGGUGCGUAGGCGGUUAUACAAGUUAGAAGUGAAAUACCCAGGGCUUAACUCGGGUGCUGCUUCUAAAACUGUAAGACUUGAGUGCAGUAGAGGUUAGUGGAAUUGGUGGUGUAGCGGUGGAAUGCAUAGAUAUUAGGAGGAACACCAGAGGCGAAGGCAGCUAACGGGACUGCGACUGACGCUGAGGCACGAAAGUGUGGGGAGCAAACAGGAUUAGAUACCCGAGUAGUC
rnacentral:rRNA from 1 species